AAAUUACUGAAAAAAAUCAUAUUAAUGUUCCAUGAGGGCAGAACUUUGGCGAAACGACCUAAAACUGCACUUGGCUCUGUAGAUCCCAUUAUCAGGCAACCAACAAUUAGAAAUAAAAUCGAAUAUGACCAAGGUAAUUAUUCAAAUCAAAUUCGCAUUUUAUGUCAAAGUACCUUUUGAAAUACCAUUUGGCCUCUUUAAAUUAAAUAGCACUUACUAUUAAUUAACAGUUAGGCCGUGAACACAUCAUAUGCAUAACUCAAAAUGCAUAAUUCAUGGCUAGAACACUUGAUGAGCUCAUAUCUGUUACGCAAUGUGUGUCCCCUUUACUGACCAUAACUACAGUAGGCGUGAAGGCCUGUAUAACAAUAAUAUCCGACUGUAUUUCCUGAUAAUAAAUAACCACCUUGGAGAGCCAUAAAGCGGAGAAAAACGAGCAGAACCGAGCAACACCGAAACAUAGAAACUGACGACUGCGGCUGCGUCGCUUUCAUUUUGUCCACACAACAGCAAAGAUUAUUGAGCGACUCUUCUACUUUGUUUUUUAAAAUCGAUUUGUAUAAGAACACAUGUUCGAGACACAAAGGAUUUUAGAGCCACAUCACCAAACAUCCCGGAAACAGAAACGCAGCGCUGUGAUUGGACCGCGCAAGAGAGCGUGUGAAAACUACUGGUGACACAGUGAGCCGCAAAACUGUUCUGCAAGGGACCGUCCACAAAAAUAAAGCGUAGAAUCAGAGUAAAUUGAGUAUGAUUGUUUGCGAGAGAUAAUAGGAGCCAGAUACAACAUCAUGGUUCAAAACAGAAUGGGACGACAUGAUUUAAAGCUUAACAUGAUUAUUAAUUAUGGAAAACAGUUGGGACGCAGUCUUGUUCUUCUGGCACACUACACCACAGUGUUUGUAAGCUUUGUAUCUCGCUCUGUAAACUGUUUUUUGGAAGUGAUCAAGUGGAUGUUAGUGUUUGCCAGAUACACGGUGGCGGUAUUCGAUUCGAUGUAUAGGAGCCUACACUGGUGGACCAGAAGCCACAGAAGGACAUCCAUAGAGAUGCUCUCCAGAAGCGAAACGGAGUCAGACUGAUGGACAUAAAGUGCUUAUGAACUCAAAGGAAUGUUCCUGGAAAAAAUUCCAAGGAGAACAAUAUCAAUGCAUCGAUACAUAUAGAAGU